rnacentral:rRNA from 1 species
AUACGUAGGUGGCAAGCGUUAUCCGGAAUUAUUGGGCGUAAAGAGUGAGCAGGCGGUUAAUUAAGUCUGAGGUUAAAGCGUGGGGCUCAACCCCAUAAAGCCUUGGAAACUGAUUGACUAGAGUACGGGAGAAGUGAAGGGAACUCCAUGUGUAGCGGGGAAAUGCGUAGAUAUAUGGAAGAACACCAGUGGCGAAGGCGCUUCACUAGCCCGAAACUGACGCUCAGUCACGAAAGCGUGGGUAGAAAAUAGGAUUAGAUUCCCUAGUAGUCCACGCUGUAAACGAUGACAACUAAAUAUUGCCGCGAGGCAGUGUUGAAGCUAACGCAUUAAGUUGUCAGCCUUGGGAGUACGGUCGCAAGACUGAAACUCAAAUGAAUUGACGGGG